rnacentral:rRNA from 1 species
GCUUGGCCCUAAACCUCAAUAGUUAAAUAACAAAACUACUCGCCAGAAUACUACAAGCAACAGCUUAAAACUCAAAGGACUUGACGGUGCUUUACACCCCCUAGAGGAGCCUGUUCCAUAAUCGAUAAACCCCGAUCCACCCCACCCUCUCUUGCUCAGCCUAUAUACCGCCAUCUUCAGCAAACCCUGAUGAAGGUCACAAAGUGAGCGCAAAUGCCCUCCACCGCAAAAACGUUAGGUCAAGGUGUAGCCCAUGAGACGGUAAAAAAUGGGCUACAUUUUCUACCUCAGAAAAUUCCACGAAAGCCCUUAUGAAAUUUAAGGGUCCAAGGAGGAUUUAGCAGUAAAUUAAGAAUAGAGUGCUUAAUUGAACCAGGCCAUAAAGCGCACACACACCGCCCGUCGUUCUU